rnacentral:rRNA from 1 species
AUGGAGGGAACUCUGAUGCAGCAACGCCGCGUGAGUGAAGAAGUAUUUCGGUAUGUAAAGCUCUAUCAGCAGGGAAGAUGAUGACAGUACCUGAAUAAGAAGCCCCGGCUAACUACGUGCCAGCAGCCGCGGUAAUACGUAGGGGGCAAGCGUUAUCCGGAUUUACUGGGUGUAAAGGGAGCGUAGACGGCGAAGCAAGUCUGAAGUGAAAAUCCGGGGCUCAACUCCGGAAGUGCUUUGGAAACUGUUUUGAUAGAGUGUCGGAGAGGUAAGUGGAAUUCCUGGUGUAGCGGUGAAAUGCGUAGAUAUCAGGAAGUACACCGGAGGCGAAGGCGGCUUACUGGACGAUAACUGACGUUGAGGCUCGAAAGCGUGGGAAGCAAACAGGAUUAGAUACCCUGGUAGCCCACGCCGUAAACGAUGAAUACUAGGUGUCGGGGGGCGAAGCCCUUCGGUGCCGUCGCAAACGCAAUAAGUAUUCCACCUGGGGGAGUACGUUCGCAAGAAUGAAACUCACAGGAAUUGACGGGGACCCGCACAAGC